CCUACGGGUGGCUGCAGUGGGGAAUUUUCCGCAAUGGGCGAAAGCCUGACGGAGCAAUACCGCGUGAGGGAGGAAGGCCCUUGGGUUGUAAACCUCUUUUAUCAAGGAGGAAGUUCUGACGUGUACUUGAUGAAUAAGCAUCGGCUAACUCCGUGCCAGCAGCCGCGGUAAGACGGAGGAUGCAAGUGUUAUCCGGAAUCACUGGGCGUAAAGCGUCUGUAGGUGGUUUAAAAAGUCCACUGUUAAAAAUUGAAGCUUAACUUCAAAGAUGCCGU
rnacentral:rRNA from 1 species